UGAGAGGUGGAGUCUCCUGCACAGAGACUCUGGGGCUUCUGGGGCCUGACCAAGGACACUGCGGAAGCUGGUGUCAGUCCCGGGGCCUUUGAGGCUCCUUUCCUGGGUUCACCCUCAUGUCAGAAGGAUGGAAGGUCCUAGAGGCCGCGAGGCUAAGGCUAUAUGGAAGUCACCGCUUAAAAAGGAGACCUCACCCCAGUUGGCCUAGAGGAACUAUCAACACCCAAAGAUGCCAAUAACAGAUUUGCUCUGACCCUUCUUUCCAGGCUUCUUACAUUGGAACUAGACUAAAAGAAUCCCUGAAACUUCCAAUUCCAGAACUGACUAAAAGGAAGACAAAUGGGUCAGGUAUACAUACUACACCUAUGCCAGAGCUGUGAAUUUAUGAAGGUUAAUUUGGAGUCUCACUCUAGUUUCUGAUACUUGAAAGUAUUUGAAAGUAAUCUUGGAACCUUUAGGCAGAGUUUUGAGAAGGCACUGAAUGUCUCAAGGAAGUCACACAACUGUAAAGACUGUGUUUGAUAUAGAUUUCUGUCAAGUGAUCUAGACUGCUUCAUCAGUGUAGCAAAGAUGUUGAUUCUCCAGCAUCACUGUCAUCACUGUGUCAAGAUACUGACAAGGAGUCAGGCCAAGUCACAGAAACCAUCACAUAAAAUGGAAACUUCAUCCCAGUCUGCCCAGAGGAACCAUCAGGAUCCAGAGACGCCAAUAACAGAUUUGCCCUUGUCCUACUUUUUAAUCUCUUCAAAUUCUUGAAACUACAAAAAUAUCCCCAAGUAUCUGCCAAUUCCAGAACUGACUAAAAGGAAGACAAAUGGGUCAGGUGUGCAUACUACACCCAUGCCAGAGCUGUGGAUUUAUAGUGGUUAUUUGGAAUCACUAUUAGGAUUCUGAUAUUUGCAAAUAUUUGCAAAUAAUCUUUGAUCCCUGAGGCAGAACUUUGAGAUGGUACUGUCUAGAGGAAGUCAAACAUCUGUACAGAUUAUGUUUGAUACUAAUUUCAGUCACAGGAUGUAGAUUGGCCCAUCACUGCAACAAGAUGUUAAUUAUAUCUCUAGGAUCACUGUUAUGACUGUGUCAAGAUACUGACAAGGAGAUGGGCCAUUUCAUAGGUAUGAUAGUAGCUUGUCUAUUCAUAGCCUAUUUAACAGAAUUUCCUGAUUUUCUAAAGACUGGGGAUAGGGUCUAUCUUUAGAUAUUGCAGCUAUGAUUUUAUUGGUAUGGGGAAUUCCUGGUUGAGAAGAUUCUCUCUAUGUGUGCAUGUAUUAAUUUACCUUCUUUCCAACUUGUAUUCUUAAAAAAUUACCUAAAGGACUAAGAAGUAAAAUGAUUGGCCAGGAUCAAAAUACCCAAAAGUGCCCAAACUUAAACUUGUAUUUUAGUGUUGAGGCCAGCUUUCUGUCCAUUAUUCCAUGCCUCCUAUUUAAAAGCAAAACAAACCACAUUUUUGCAUGUGCGUGUGCUGAUUUUCUGAGUGUGAAGAGGUAACUCCAGUUUAUUUUCAUUUCUAUUUUUCAUAGUAGUAGUAAUUCUGAACAAAUUUUCAUGUACUGGUUUUGAAAAUUUAACACUAACCUGUACCCCUAUCUUUGCUACCUCAAAGAUUUUCUUUGAAUUUUAAAAGGGGUGAAUUUUAAUAUAAAGUUUGAAAUUACAACUUA